rnacentral:lncRNA from 1 species
AUGUCUGAAUCUCAGGUACACUAAAGUACCUUUGUGCUUCUCUAUCCAUAUAGAGCUGUGAUAAUUCCUGCUUGGCAGGUUACUGGAGGAGUGGGUAGAGGAAUCCUCAAUUUUUAAAUCAUUGUGGAAGAGGCUGUUCCAAAUGCUACAGUGCUACUGUAUUCACAAGCCCUGCUUCUAAACAGAGAUGAUGAUGGGACUUCUCAAACCUCCUCCAAGAAGAGAGCUCAGCACAGUAGGAGCUAAUUGCUGUGCACAGAGACCAUAUUUCCUGGAAAGUGGUAGGAACUGAUUACCCUCUUAGAUCACUGUGGGCGAGAAGUAAUUCUGCUGCAGCCAAGAGAUAUAUAAGUGGUACUCUGCAUGAGAUGGAACGAGAUAAACAGAGUUUCUACGCUGAAGAACAACUGUGUAGGAGAAAGCAAAGAUCUUUACAUGGAGAUCCAACAGAUCAUGAAUUCUCUGUUCAACUUUCUGAUUGCUGUGCUUCUCCCAAUUUCUUCUGUGUGUAGGAUUUUGCAAGUCCAUUCAGAGACACAGAGCAAAAGUGAAAGGCUGUCUGUCAUUCCUAAGGCCCGGGCAUGGGGAGAGAUAUCCAGUUAUCUUCUGCAUGUAGAAGACAAGCUUUCUCUCCAACAGACCUCAUGGCUAGGAGCUACAGAGCUGCCUGCUCCCGUGGAGUGGAAAGGAGAAAUAUGUGUUGUCAGCUAAGCAGGACCUUUGAUUCAGUAUGGCAUGAAGCUCUGCUUUCCAGCCCCAUAGUACACACAGUGAGGACACCGUAUGAUGACAAAAUCAUUUCAGCUUUCAGUUAAAAAAGAGAUUUCGACUAUUGAAAUUCAUCAGAAAUUUUGAAAAUAUGAACCUGAAAAGGUGUCAAAAGCCAAG